GGCGGACGGCUGAGUAACGCGUAGGAACGUACCCCAAAGUGAGGGAUAAGCACCGGAAACGGUGUCUAAUACCGCAUAUGGUCUUCGGAUUAAAGCAGCAAUGCGCUAUGGGAACGGCCUGCGUCGGAUUAGCUAGUUGGUGAGGUAAUGGCUCACCAAGGCGACGAUCCGUAGCUGGUCUGAGAGGAUGAUCAGCCAGACUGGAACUGAGACACGGUCCAGACUCCUACGGGAGGCAGCAGUUAGGAAUCUUCCACAAUGGGGGCAACCCUGAUGGAGCAACACCGCGUGCUGGAUGAAGGCCUUCGGGUCGUAAACAGCUUUUGUAUACGAAGAAUAUGACGGUAAUAUACGAAUAAGGGUCGGCUAACUACGUGCCAGCAGCCGCGGUCAUACGUAGGACCCAAGCGUUAUCCGGAGUGACUGGGCGUAAAGAGUUGCGUAGGCGGCUUAUUAAGCGAGUAGUGAAAUCUGGUGGCUCAACCAUCAACACAUUGCUCGAACUGAUAGGCUUGAGAAUGGUAGAGGUAGUUGGAAUUUCUUGUGUAGGAGUGAAAUCCGUAGAUAUAAGAAGGAACACCAAUGGCGUAGGCAGACUACUGGACCAUUUCUGACGCUGAGGCACGAAAGCGUGGGGAGCGAACCGGAUUAGAUACCCGGGUAGUCCACGCCGUAAACGAUGGAUGCUAGCUGUGGGGGGGUAUCGACCCCCUCCGUAGCGAAGCUAACGCGUUAAGCAUCCCGCCUGUGGAGUACGGCCGCAAGGCUAAAACAUAAAGGAAUUGA
rnacentral:rRNA from 1 species